GCCGGGUGUGGUGGUGGGCACCUGUAAUCCCAGCUACUCAGGAGGCUGAGGCAGGAGAAUUACUCGAACCCAGGAGACAGAGGUUGCAGUGAGCCGAGAUCGUGCCACUGCACUCCAGCCUGGGCGACAGAGUAAGACUCUGCCUCAA
rnacentral:sRNA from 1 species